rnacentral:rRNA from 1 species
CAAGUCGAACGCGAAAGUUCCCUUCGGGGAGCGAGUAGAGUGGCGUCCGGGUGAGUAACACGUAGGUAAUCUACCUUUGGGUGGGGAAUAACAACCGGAAACGGUUGCUAAUACCGCAUAAUGCAGCGGCAUCACAUGAUGACAGUUGUUAAAGCGGGGGAUCGUAAGACCUCGCGCCUAAAGAGGAGCCUGCGGCGGAUUAGCUAGUUGGUAAGGUAACGGCUUACCAAGGCAACGAUCCGUAGCCGGCCUGAGAGGGCGGUCGGCCACACUGACACUGAAAUACGGGUCAGACUCCUACGGGAGGCAGCAGUCGGGAAUUUUGGGCAAUGGGCGAAAGCCUGACCCAGCAACGCCGCGUGAAGGAUGAAAUCCCUCGGGAUGUAAACUUCGCAAGAACAGGAAGAAUAAGUAGGGGACAAUACCCCCUAUGAUGACGGUACUGUUUGUAAGCUCCGGCUAACUCCGUGCCAGCAGCCGCGGUAAUACGGGGGGAGCAAGCGUUGUUCGGAUUUACUGGGCGUAAAGGGCGCGUAGGCGGCCUGUGCAAGUCAGUUGUGAAAUCUCCGGGCUUAACUCGGAACGGUCAACUGAUACUGCUCGGCUAGAGUGCGGAAGGGGCAACUGGAAUUCUUGGUGUAGCGGUGAAAUGCGUAGAUAUCAAGAGGAACACCUGCGGCGAAGGCGGGUUGCUGGGCCGACACUGACGCUGAUGCGCGAAAGCUAGGGGAGCGAACGGGAUUAGAUACCCCGGUAGUCCUAGCCUUAAACGAUGAAUGCUUGGUGUCUGGGGUUAUAAAGUCCCCGGGUGCCGUCGCUAACGCUUUAAGCAUUCCGCCUGGGGAAGUACGGUCGCAAGACUGAAACUCAAAGGAAUUGACGGGGACCCGCACAAGCGGUGGAGCAUGUGGUUU